CAUACUUCUUACGGACCUAUAAAAGACUGAGAUGAGCCAAGACUAUUUUGAAUAAGCAUUGGGCCUUGUUCUACAAGAUGGAGACACUUAUCAUAAGCUAUACUAAUUAAGACAAGAGAGCGUUGCCGUGGAAAUAGAACCAACAGAUCAAGGGGACAGAACAGAGAGCUUAGAAAUAGACCCACGUAGGUAGAGUAACAUGGUUCAUGACCAAGGGGGCAUUUUUAUUUUUACCGGAAAAUGGAAAAAGGGAGACGAAACGAAAGCAGACCAGUAACCCCAACGAGAAUAAUAAUCGCGAACACAUGUUAGGAGAUACCAGCCAGGCACUUGUUCAAAGGCUUUAUGUGUGUAACUCACAGAAUCUUCACCCCCUCACAGUAGGUCUUGUGGUAGCAAAGAUACAGAGAAGUCAGAAAAACAACCCCAGGACACAGAACUAGCAACUGGAUCCCCAGGAUCCCAACCAAGACUCCAGACCCUUGGCAAACCCCAGGAUGUUACCUGUGCUUCUACAAAGUGGCUACAGCUUGGAGGUUUUAACAACCUCUUUGCGACUGGUUUAGAAGAAAAGAAAAACAACAAGGCCCCAAACCAAGAUUCCAUGAAAACUUUGGUUGAACACGAUCUUUAUUUCAGGAAACAUGCCGAGGAGAUGGUAU